AUGGGGCUUAACAGUGCCCAUUAUAUAGGCCACUUGUUUGCUUCGACAUGUGACCAUGAUAAUGCUUCCUGUGGCUUCAAUUCAUCAUCCCACGUCCUUUUUUCUUCAUUCCAUACAUCAUCGAGAACAAGUAAAAAUCUUUUCCGGCCAAUGACUUCCUCAAGUUUCUUCUGCAAUAAUUCAAUGUUGCCAGACAUGCACCAACCUCCCUUUCUAGCCAAUGCCUUUUCGUUUUCUGGCAAAUCAUCUAUAGCCAAUUCAAUGAUGGAUUUCAGAAUAGCAAUAACAUCAAAAUUAUCUGCCACGCAGUGCCAGAUCUUCAACUGGAAAUGA
rnacentral:rRNA from 1 species